rnacentral:rRNA from 1 species
UCUACGGGAGGCAGCAGUAGGGAAUCUUCCACAAUGGGCGAAAGCCUGAUGGAGCAACGCCGCGUGGGUGAAGAAGGUCUUCGGAUCGUAAAACCCUGUUGUUAGAGAAGAAAGUGCGUGAGAGUAACUGUUCACGUUUCGACGGUAUCUAACCAGAAAGCCACGGCUAACUACGUGCCAGCAGCCGCGGUAAUACGGAGGUGGCAAGCGUUAUCCGUAUUUAGUGGGCGUAAAGGGAACGCAGGCGGUCUUUUAAGUCUGAUGUGAAAGCCUUCGGCUUAACCGGAGUAGUGCAUUGGAGACUGGGGGACGUGAGUGCAGAAGAGGAGAGAGGAACUCCAGGUGUAGCGGUGAAAUGCGUAGAUAUAUGGAAGAACACCAGUGGCGAAGGCGGCUCUCUGGUCUGUAACUGACGCUGAGGUUCGAAAGAGUGGGUAGCAAACAGGAUUAGAUACCCGAGUAGUC